CUUAGCAGAGAUGCUUUGGUGCCUUCGGGAACUCUGAGACAGGUGCUGCAUGGCUGUCGUCAGCUCGUGUUGUGAAAUGUUGGGUUAAGUCCCGCAACGAGCGCAACCCUUAUCCUUUGUUGCCAGCGGUCCGGCCGGGAACUCAAAGGAGACUGCCAGUGAUAAACUGGAGGAAGGUGGGGAUGACGUCAAGUCAUCAUGGCCCUUACGAGUAGGGCUACACACGUGCUACAAUGGCGCAUACAAAGAGAAGCGACCUCGCGAGAGCAAGCGGACCUCAUAAAGUGCGUCGUAGUCCGGAUUGGAGUCUGCAACUCGACUCCAUGAAGUCGGAAUCGCUAGUAAUCGUGGAUCAGAAUGCCACGGUGAAUACGUUCCCGGGCCUUGUACACACCGCCCGUCACACCAUGGGAGUGGGUUGCAAAAGAAGUAGGUAGCUUAACCUUCGGGAGGGCGCUUACCACUUUGUGAUUCAUGACUGGGGUGAAGUCGUAACAAGGUAAGCGUAGUGCU
rnacentral:rRNA from 1 species